rnacentral:rRNA from 1 species
GACGAACGCUGGCGGCGUGCUUAACACAUGCAAGUCGAACGGAAAGGCCCUGCUUUUGCGGGGUGCUCGAGUGGCGAACGGGUGAGUGACACGUGAGUAACCUGCCCUUGACUUAGGGAUAACAUCAGGAAACUGGGGCGAAUACAGGGGAGAAGCUCCUGCAGCAUGGGGGGGGAUGGAGAGAUUCGGCGGUUUGGGAUGGACUGGCGGGUUAUCAGCUUGAUGGGGAGGUAGGGGAUUACCAAGGCUUUGACGGGUAGGCCGCCUGAGAGGGUGACCGGCGUCAUUGGGCCUGAGAGACGGCCCAGACUCCUAUGGUAGGCAGCAGGGGGGAAUAUUGCAGAAUGGCCGCAAGCCUGAUGCAGAAACGCUGCGUGCGGGAUACCGGCUUUCGGGUUGUAAACCGAUUUCGCCUGUGACGUAGAGUGCGUGACGGUACUGGGUAAAGAAGCACCGGCUAACUACGUG